AUCUUGUGAAUGCGCAUCGUGCGAUGGGAUAGACUGGUGCAAUUUUCAGUCUUGAACGAGGAAUUCCUAGUAAACGCAAGUCAUCAGCUUGCAUUGAUUACGUCCCUGCCCUUUGUACACACCGCCCGUCGCACCUACCGAUUGAAUGACUCGGUGAAAAAUUGGGACCGUGAGUCUGUUUGCUUUAUUGCGAGUGGAUUGAUGGGAACUUUUUUAAACCUCGCCAUUUAGAGGAAGGUGAAGUCGUAACAAGGUUUCCGUAGGUGAACCUGCGGAAGGAUCAUUA
rnacentral:rRNA from 1 species